UUGCUUUGGCAGCAUAUUUAUUGAAAAAAAAAUGGAAUGAUACAAAGAUGAGCAUUGCCCAUGUGGGAGGAUGACACACAAGUCUGUGAAGCAUUCCAUAUUUGC
ensembl:snRNA U6 U6 spliceosomal RNA